GCCAAAAAUAAAUGCAUUAAAUAUAUUUAAAGUGUUUACAACCUAAAUCGAUUGGAUUUAGGACAUAAUACUUACAUGAAUAUCAUCGAUGAUUGUCCUCUCUAUCUGGAUUUACAUUUAUGAGAGCAUAUACAUCCCGAGAGCAAAGAGAAUCUUGAAAAGGAACUGAAGAUUGACAAUAAAACAGAGAAUCGGAGCUGGGAUUAUCAUGUCAAUCCUAUGCAUGGAGUCAGCAGGCAUCGUUGAAAAGAAACGUCGAUAAUCAGCUCUAGAACAGGGUUCAUUUGCUUCAUCUCUCCAUGUUGCAGCUCUAUUGCCUCAGUUCUUCUUUUCUGGCCUAACAGAAGCAUUUGCUGCUGUUGCUGUCAUGAUUUUUAACCACACAGAUGUCAGAAAACAUGAGUAGUGUUGCAGGAGCACUGUUUUUCCUAAGCCUGUCAAUUGCAAGUUAUCUAAGUUCCCUUAUUGUUAAUGUUAUACAUUCUGUGACUGGAGAAAAUGGAAAAUUCCCAUGGCUUGGAGGCCAUGAUCUUAACGAGAACCGGUUCGAAUACUACUAUUUCAUCGUUGCUGCAUUAGGCUCCACCUACUUGAUAUAUUACACUUUCUUUGCCAGCAGUUGUGUCAAGUGCAAAAUCCAUCAAAUUGGGAAAAGAAUUGCAUUUGGAGAAUUCAGUAGGUAGCCCAGCCACUAGGAAACACGAGGAACGAGGUGGAUUGGACUCAGGUGCAACUUAAAAUGGUGACUCAAAAGGCUAGGUUUGAGCAGUGAAUCCUCAUUUGGAUUAUUUAUCAUGGAUGGGCAGAAAAUUCUGAAACUAGGAGGCUAUUUCAGAUUAUGCUUUAUAUAUAAAGUUGGAUGUAACAAAACAGUGUACUAAUGGUACACACUGGAAUUGGAAUUGCUUAAACUUUCACUACCCAAUAUAGAUAUUAAACAGAAAACCACGUGUAACCUAGCAAUGAUACAGCAGGCAUCGAGGACGAUUUAAUCAGGGAAGCAUAAUGAUCAUGGUAUGUCAUCUCUUUACAAAUUAAACAAUAAACAUUUGAAGCCAGUAAGCAUUUCAAAAGUGAGAACAACCAACAUUUAGGAUGUGUUCUCUUUACCGUUUUCGGGCCGUUUUCUGUUUUCAGUUUUUCAAAACGGUGAAAACACGUUUUCUUUCCCGUUUUUGAAAACGAAAAAAAAAUUUGUGAAAAAAACACAAAACGACAUUUUCGUUUUGGACCUCUUCAGUACAAAACUGGAAAAAAUUGAAAACGCGAGAAAUGAUUCAAAAAUGGCAAAAACAAUGUAUUUUCAACAAUUUCAAAAUAGAAACUUAAAACACAAAACCCAAAAUGAAUUCAAAAUUCAAAACUACAAAAUUGAUAUACGAAGAGAAAACCCACUUUUGCUCAGCAACCAUUCUUGUGGUUUUUCAAAUAGUAUCGAAG
rnacentral:lncRNA from 1 species